rnacentral:rRNA from 1 species
UACGUAGGGGGCAAGCGUUGUCCGGAUUUAUUGGGCGUAAAGAGCGUGUAGGCGGCCUGACAGGUCUGCUGUGAAAACUCGAGGCUCAACUUCGAGCUGUCGGUGGAAACUUUCUGGCUAGAGUCCGGAAGAGGAGAAUGGAAUUCCUGGUGUAGCGGUGAAAUGCGCAGAUAUCAGGAAGAACACCCGUGGCGAAGGCGGUUCUCUGGGACGGUACUGACGCUGAGACGCGAAAGCGUGGGGAGCGAACAGG